UAGUCCACGCCGUAAACGAUGGAUACUAGCUGUUUGGAAGAAUUGACUUCUGAGUGGCUAAGCGAAAGUGAUAAGUAUCCCACCUGGGGAGUACGUUCGCAAGAAUGAAACUCAAAGGAAUUGACGGGGGCCCGCACAAGCGGUGGAGCAUGUGGUUUAAUUCGAUGAUACGCGAGGAACCUUACCAGGGCUUAAAUGUAGUCUGACAGCUUUAGAGAUAGAGUUUUCUUCGGACAGAUUACAAGGUGCUGCAUGGUUGUCGUCAGCUCGUGCCGUGAGGUGUCAGGUUAAGUCCUAUAACGAGCGCAACCCCUAUCGCUAGUUGCCAUCAAGUAAAGUUGGGGACUCUAGCGAGACUGCCGGUGCAAACCGUGAGGAAGGUGGGGAUGACGUCAAAUCAUCACGGGCCCUUACGUCCUGGGGCCACACACGUGCUACAAUGGUAGGGACAGAGAGCAGCCACUGCGCAAGCAGGAGCGAAUCUUCAAACCCUAUCUCA
rnacentral:rRNA from 1 species